UGAUGUCCAUUGGGAUAGAGUUGACAACACUUUAUACAAAGUGUAACACACAAAAUUAUCCAUCAAUUGUUUGGUCAACAAGAUGAACACACACACAAGGAGAUAGAAGAGAGAGAAAAAAAAAAUAAAAGAGAAAAAAAUAAAAGAGAAUAUCAAAAAUGAUAGAGAGAAAUAAACACAAUGAAAGAUCAAUAUUCUUCAAUGAAUAUUCAUAUUGUGAUGACAAGGAACGUGAAAAGAUUAUGAUUAAUUCGAUGGUAGAGAAAAUAAAUUACUCCAAUUUGUGACAAUUCUAAUUGUUUGAUUGUAAUUAAUUUCGAUAAACAUGACAACUCAAAUUCUCAUCUCUAGUAUCCUUAAAGAAGAUCAGAUAAUCUAUCGGAUCCUAAAUAUCGAUAGAAAAAAAAUUCUUUUCUCUUUUGUUUUUACAAUUUUUUUAUUCUUUUUCAUUUUUGUUCAAUUGUUUUUCUUUUAUCCUUUGCAUCUGUUUUCAUCUUCAUGAGAAUGUUCAUGUUCUUCUUUCCUUCUAUUUGGUGGUUCUGUGAAUGAUGUUCAUCAUUUCCAUUCGUAAAGAGGAAUAAGUUUUGAGAGAAAAACAUUGAUAACAAACAUAAGAGAUUCAUUAAGGUGGAUUUUUAUUGUUACUGUUAUUUUUUUUCUUCUCUUUCUUUUCUUUCUUUUUGCUGUAUUGCUCUUUUUUCUCCUUUCCCUUUUUUCUCUUUCUAUUAUAUGUGUGUAGUAGUAUUACCGUUAUUGUUGUUGAGAGAUGAAAUGAAAUAGACCAUUGGUAAUAAAAGAGGAUGACCAUAGUUUUAUCCUCUCAAAUCCAAUGAUAGUCACCUUCAGUGAAUUGGUCAGUUUAUUUCAUCCCAUUCUCAUCUUUAUCAUCUUCAUUUCUCUUACUUUUUCUUCAUCACUAUCAUUUAUUUUCCCUUCUUCACUAUAUCUCUCUCUCUCUCUCUCACAUGGAAACAUCUCUACUCUAUUCCUUUUGUAUACUCAUCAACUCAAUUGUCUCUUCUUCAUCAUCAUCAAUAUCAUUUCUCUCUCUCUCUCUCCUUUUGCUUUUCUCCUUUACCACUAAACAAUAACAGCUUAUAAACCUUUUCAAAAUGUUGAUCAUCACUUGAUCACUUGAAUUGGUAUUGCUUUCUUUCUGUGUCCAUCAUUGGUUUAGAUGAUAAGAUGAUGGUCAAAGUGAUGAUUUUACAGAGAAAAUUAUUACAUAACAAUCAUGUAGAACAAUUUAAAGUGGAAGACUGAGGGAGAGAAUAUGAUAACAAUUCUAUUCUCCCUUGAAACAUUUCUCCACAUACCAAGAGUGUAAAAUGUAAAUUGUCAUUUGAUUUAUUAUUUUCACCUUCAGAUGAAUUUCUGCAAUUAAUUCCUAAGAAACUUACAUGUCAAGGGAGAUUGGAAAAUAAUCUGAAUACUAAAACUGUGCUGUUCAUUUAUAAAUAAGUUUCGAUAUUGAAUAUGAUACUUUUUUCUUGAAUCAGAUGAAAGUUUAAGCAAAUUGCUUUAAGGUUAAGGGCUUGAGAAAUGUUAUUGAUGGUUGAUGGAACAACAUACACACACAAUAGUCAAAACGAGUAAGCAACAAGCAACAAUCAACCAACUAUAAACAUAAAUUGCUUUAUAUAUAAUACAUAUUAAGCAGAAACUAGCAAACUGGAUAAAAGGGUGUGAAAUGGCCAAGGGAGAUGAAAAAUCGCGAGAAAAUGGUGAAUUAAUACGAUGAAGCGUAACAAAAUUUUGCUUCUCUCUCCCUCUUCAUCAUCUUGAUCUCAUCAUCAUCAUUAACAUCAUCAACUUGAUCUUCAUGAAUUACAAACACACUUUUCGGAAGUCAGAAGAGUAAAGCUUGAUAGAGAUUAUCAAAGAGAGAGAGAGAGAGAGAGAGAGAGAGAGAGAAAUAGCAAAAGAGGUAGAAGAUAAAAAUGAUGAUGAUGAUGAACCAUUUUGUAUACAUGACACAGAAGAUGAGGAUAGAUUGAGAGAGAGAGAAGAAGAUACCAAAGAUGAUGAUAAAAACAUUGAGGGUACAUCGUUUGGGCACGCAUACCCUCGGGAAUGAAUUUACAAUUUUGCGGUUUCAUUGAGAUUGAUGAUUAAUCAUGUUUGAUGUGAGCCAAGUUGAACUGAGAUUCAGAUCCAUGGUUUAACUAUACUGCAACUUCAACUAUCAAAUAUAUAACCAAGGAAACAAGAAGAUGAUGAUUUGGGAUUGCCUCACUAUCUUUAUCAUCUAACAUCAUCAUCUUCAUCUUCAUCUUUUAUCGUCAUCUUUUUUUAUAUCUUCUUCAUACAUCGUCCUCCAUCGUCUCAUCUUCUUCUCAUCAUCAUCUUUUUUAUCAACUUCUUUUCCUCCCCGAUUGAGGAUCAUUUUAUAGGACAAUAUCUUGAGGGCUUGAGUUUUCCCUCUCUUCAUCUCAUUCAUUUUUGAGAAUCACUCCUACCUCCAUUGAGUAUCUCUCUCUUGCUCUCUCUCUCUCGCUCUUUUUUCCAGUGAUGAUGUUGAAUGUCAAAAGCAGAAAAGAAGGAGAAAAAGAUAAAGAAGCAACCAAAAGGAAGAACAACAUUCCAUUUAAAACAUAGCAGGGUUGCAAACAAUCACCUUGACCAGUGCUACUGAUGAUCAUCUUCAUCCACCUUAUCCUCAUCAUCAUCAACGAUUUUAUUUUUCUUCAUGUUCAGAUGCUGCUCAUGUUGAAUAUUGUUAUUACAACACCAACAAGAACAUGAAAAAAAAACCCUGUAGGCAGAUCAGAAAAUGUGUAAGAAUCUGUACCUUUAUUACAAGUUACAUUUUCUCAUUUUCAUUUAAAAUUAACUGAUUCACAUCUUUAACAAUCAACAAUCAACCCACAAUAGUGAUGGUUUUUUUUCCUAUCACGAUUAGUGUUGAUAUUAUAUAAUUUUCAUCAUGUACCAACAACAUGAUAUCAGUUGUAAUAAUACAAUCAAAGGUUAAGGUUCAUGACUGUUAAUGAUGAUUAAGAAAGAGGAUGAUGAUAAAUGCUCAAGCUAAUUUUGACAAUAUUCAUAUUGGAUAAUCAACAUGGUCAUCUCAUCAUCAUCAUCAUCGUAGGAGGAUAAACAAAAAAGUUAAUUGUCAGGGUAACGAGUUAAAUACAUUGAUGACCAAGAAUAUUUCAUCAUAAUAAUCAAUUGGAUAUCAUUAAUUAUACUUGACUCCUUCCAGUUACAAUCAAACGCAAAGACAUUGAGAAAGAAAAAAGUUUGUUUUGUCUUAUGAUGAUAAUGGUUAAAUUGUCACAGCAAAUUGAUCAUCAUAAUCAUAUAAUCAUCAUGAUGAUCAAUAGGGAAAGAAAAAUACUAACUAUUCCUAUCAGGAGGAUUCAAUGGCAAAGGAGGAAAAGCAAAGUAUCAAGUCAUAAAUUCAAGGAAAUGAACAUUCAACAAGACAUUUUGUUACUAUAUUUUUUUUUGUUCUGUGUUGAUAUGUAAUAUCUAUGGCAAAGAGACUAAAUCGCUUGGUAACAAACAUUACAUACGAAUAUGAGAACCGAUGGAUAAAGAAGAUAUUAUAUCAAAAUGAUUCUUAAAAAGUCAUCAUCAUGGAAUCAUCAUCAUCAUCAUCAUCAUCGUAAUCGUCUUCCCUUCCGUUUACUUGAUUAAUGAUGCUACUUUAUUUAGACUGGAAGAUAAAUAAUAUUUCAACAAUCAUAUCUUAUUAUAUAUUAUUGUUAACGGAUAACUUUGACUUCCUAUUGUCUUUUGUUAUGAUAUAUAAAUAACAAGCAAAAAAAGACAAUAAGAUAAUCAUCAUGUCCAAUUUUACAGUUAUUUAAUUGUUACCUUAACAAGAGACAAUAUCUUGUUGUUAAAACGGUUAAACAGAAAAGUGAUUAAGAUGAUUACUUUAUCUUUGAAAGUAAUCAAAAAUGAUUGUUAAGUUUAUCCGAUAGUUUUGGUUUAGGUUUGUUAUUAGAUCAAUUUAAUUCAAUUGUUAUUAACCUACCUGAUCUAAAUAAGAUGAUGAUAAUGGUAAUGAUGAUGAUGAUGAUGAUAAAGAAUCCAAGUAAACAACAAAAAAGUGAUCAGAAUAACGAUGAUGAUAAUGAUGAUUAUUUAGAUUCUGUUGUUGAUAUAAUUACAUCUAAUAGAAAGACACAAAUAUCCUUCAUGUCAACUGUCGAUGAAAAAGACGAAGGGUGGUUAUGGUGUAGGCGAAAUCGGGAAGGAAGAAGGAGGCAGUGGAAGGAGCAAGUGAAUCAAAGCCAAGGCGAUUAAUGAUCAACAUCCAACAACAUCAACAUGAAGCUCAUUUAAAGGUUAUAACACUAUGGGUUUGAAGGUGUUGAAGAGGCAACAUUAUCCCUGAUGAUGAUGAUGAUUCUUCAAUGGAAGUCAGCUCUUUUUAUCUGCUUCUUGUGUCGUUAUUCACAUGGAGGGAUGAGGAUGGAGAGACAAAAAAUAGCAAUAAUGAUACCUGUCAAGAUAAGAAUCAAUCCUUUUCUUGUAAUGCCGGAUGCUGAGGGUUGACUUGAAGUCUUUUUUUUUGCUUCUCCAUCAUGUUGAUGCUUGUUGCCUUAAUGAUGAUGCUUUAGAUGGACAUGAUAAAAUACUAUUAACUUGCAUAAACUUUACACCCCUGUUAAAAUAUCACUUGCAAUCAGUGCGUCAAAAGAUAAACAUUACAACAAUUUACAACAUUGACGAAGUGUGUCUUACAUUUACUAUGACAAAAACACGAGGGAUGAUGAAAACGAUGAUAAUCUUUCAUGAUGAUCAGCCUAAUGAUGAAAGCCUGAUGCCUGAUUACAGCUGAUGAU